rnacentral:rRNA from 1 species
AUGCAAGUCGUACGAGUUCCAUUUGGGCAACUGGGUGGAAAAAGUGGCGAAAGGGGCAGUAAGGCAUGGAUAAUUUACCCUGAUGACCGGGAUAGCUGUCCCAACGGGCAGGUAAUACCGGAUGAGCUGGCGGUGCCGCAUGGUACUGCCAGGAAAGGCGCAAGCCGUGUCGGGAGGAAUCCAUGUGAUAUUAGCUAGUUGGCGGGGUAACGGCCCACCAAGGCGAAGAUGUCUAGCGGGUGUGAGAGCACGACCCGCGCCAUUGGCACUGAGACACUGGCCAGACUCCUACGGGAGGCUGCAGUCGAGGAUCUUCGGCAAUGGGCGCAAGCCUGACCGAGCGACGCCGCGUGAGCGAUGAAGGCCAUUAGGUUGUAAAGCUCUGUCGAGGGGGAGCAAGCCGCAAGGUUGAGCGAUCCCUGGAGGAAGCACGGGCUAAGUUCGUGCCAGCAGCCGCGGUAAGACGAACCGUGCGAACGUUGUUCGGAAUCAUUGGGCUUAAAGGGCGCGUAGGCGGGUGUUCAAGUCCGGGGUGAAAUCCUCCAGCUCAACUGGAGAAGAGCCCCGGAUACUGUUCAUCUAGAGAGAGGUAGGGGCACAUGGAACUUCCGGUGGAGCGGUGAAAUGCGUAGAGAUCGGAAGGAACGCCGGUGGCGAAAGCGAUGUGCUGGAUCUUUUCUGACGCUGAGGCGCGAAAGCUAGGGGAGCAAACGGGAUUAGAUACCCCGGUAGUCCUAGCC